GUGCUCGCUUCGGCAGCACAUAUACUAAAAUUUGAAUAAUACAGAGAAGAUUAGCAUGGCCCCUGCCAAAGGAUGACACAUAAAUUCGUGAAACAUUCCAUAUUUUU
ensembl:snRNA U6 U6 spliceosomal RNA